AGAGUUUGAUCAUGGCUCAGAUUGAACGCUGGCGGCAGGCUUAACACAUGCAAGUCGAGCGGUAACAGGAAUAGCUUGCUAUUUGCUGACGAGCGGCGGACGGGUGAGUAAUGCUUGGGAAUAUGCCUUAUGGUGGGGGACAACAGUUGGAAACGACUGCUAAUACCGCAUAAUGUCUACGGACCAAAGGGGGGGAUCUUAGGACCUCUCGCCAUUUGAUUAGCCCAAGUGAGAUUAGCUAGUUGGUAAGGUAAUGGCUUACCAAGGCGACGAUCUCUAGCUGGUUUGAGAGGAUGAUCAGCCACACUGGGACUGAGACACGGCCCAGACUCCUACGGGAGGCAGCAGUGGGGAAUAUUGCACAAUGGGGGAAACCCUGAUGCAGCCAUGCCGCGUGUGGGAAGAAGGCCUUCGGGUUGUAAAGCACUUUCAGUUGUGAGGAAAGGUGUGUAGUUAAUAGCUGCAUACUGUGACGUUAACAACAGAAGAAGCACCGGCUAACUUCGUGCCAGCAGCCGCGGUAAUACGAGGGGUGCAAGCGUUAAUCGGAAUUACUGGGCGUAAAGCGUUCGUAGGCGGUUGAAUAAGCAAGAUGUGAAAGCCCAGGGCUCAACCUUGGAACUGCGUUUUGAACUGUUCGACUAGAGUACUGUAGAGGGGGGUAGAAUUUCA
rnacentral:rRNA from 1 species